CAUGCUUCAUAGUAGAGUGGCCUGUUAGUGAUUAUGAUCUGAGCAUGGGGUUGCUGGCACAUAAAUAUGUGUAAACCCUUUUAUUGGACCCAACUGUAGUUGUGGGGGAUCGGAUCGUAAUCCGCCCUACUGAGUUCAGUGCUAGAUACCUCUGAACCAACCAAUAGUGGGUAAGUUUUUCUUUUUCUUUUUCUUUUUAUUUUUCUUUUUGUAGCAAUUUUUUUUUUACAAUUCUUUGGUUUAAAU
rnacentral:lncRNA from 1 species